rnacentral:rRNA from 1 species
AAUUUAUGUUCUUGGAACAGAACGUCACAGAGGGUGAGAAUCCCGUGCGAUGAGAUGCCCAAUUCUAUGUAAGGUGCUUCGAAGAGUCGAGUUGUUGGGAAUGCCAGCUCUAAGUGGGUGGUAAAUUCCAUCUAAAGCUAAAUAUUGGCGAGAGACCGAUAGCGAACAAGUACAGUGAUGGAAAGAUGAAAAGAACUUUGAAAAGAGAGUGAAAAAGUACGUGAAAUUGUUGACACGGGAAGGGUAUGAGAUCAGACUUGGUGUUUUGCAACCUUACUCUCGGGUGGGGCCCCUGCAGUUCAUCGGGGCCAGCAUCAGUUUGGAUGGUAGGAUAAAUGGCAUUGGGAAUGUAGCUUGGCUUCGGUUAAGGUGUUAUAGCCUUUGUUGAUACUGCCUGUCUAGACUGAAGGACUGCGGUCUUUUGGACCUAAGGAUGGC